rnacentral:rRNA from 1 species
AUUGAACGCUAGCGGCAUGCCUUACACAUGCAAGUCGAACGGAGUGGCGGACGGGUGAGUAAUAUAUCGGAACGUGCCCAAUAGCGGGGGAUAACUACUCGAAAGUGUGGCUAAUACCGCAUACUAUCAGAUGCGCCGAUAUGGGAUUAGCUUGUUGGUGGGGUAACGGCUCACCAAGGCCACGAUCCAUAGCUGGUUUGAGAGGAUGAUCAGCCACACUGGGACUGAGACACGGCCCAGACUCCUACGGGAGGCAGCAGUGGGGAAUAUUGGACAAUGGGGGAAACCCUGAUGCAGCCAUGCCGCGUGUAUGAAGAAGGCCUUCGGGUUGUAAAGUACUUUCAGUCGGGAGGCGGUACCGACAGAAGAAGCACCGGCUAACUACGUGCCAGCAGCCGCGGUAAUAC